rnacentral:rRNA from 1 species
ACUCCUACGGGAGGCAGCAGUGGGGAAUAUUGCACAAUGGGCGAAAGCCUGAUGCAGCAAUGCCGCGUGUGUGAAGAAGGCCUGCGGGUUGUAAAGCACUUUUAUCGGGAAAGAAAACCAGGGCUAAUACCCUUGGUCUUGACGGUACCCGUUGAAUAAGCACCGGCUAACUCCGUGCCAGCAGCCGCGGUAAUACGGAGGGUGCAAGCGUUAAUCGGAAUUACUGGGCGUAAAGCGCAUGUAGGCGGCUUUUAAGUCUGAUGUGAAAGCCAGUGGCUCAACCACUGAAUUGCAUUGGAUACUGGAAAGCUAGAAUCUUGGAGAGGUAAGUGGAAUUUCAUGUGUAGCGGUGGAAUGCGUAGAUAUAUGAAGGAACACCAAUGGCGAAGGCAGCUUACUGGACAAGUAUUGACGCUGAGAUGCGAAAGUGUGGGUAGCAAACAGGAUUAGAUACCCUGGUGGCUCUGC